rnacentral:misc_RNA from 1 species
CCCCUUUCCCCUCAUCCCUAUUGCUACCCCCGACGUCGCCGCCAUUGUGGGCGCGCAACUAACAAUUUUUAAAUUGUUUAUACUUUCCGCUUCUUGAACGCCCCUUUGGCUUUCGCUCCUUCAAAUCUCUUAAACCUUUCCUAUUAGGGUAUAGUCGAAUUGAAAGACAAUUAAACGAUUGAACGCCUGGAGGAAUCGAAAUAAAUGUUAUAUAACAUUAUUGUUUGAAAGAAGCGAACUAAGGGUGAUUUAUCACCAAGUGUUCGUAUUAAUAUUUGGUAUUGAUUUCGUACAAGCCAAUGUGUUUAUUAAGCGUAUAAAAUAGAGAAUCAAGACGGUAAUUUAAGUCCUGAACAAAUAGAAGAAUUUAAGGAAGCCUUCUCCCUUUUCGACAAGGAUGGCGAUGGCGAAAUUACUACCAAAGAACUUGGUACCGUCAUGAGAUCCCUUGGUCAGAAUCCUACCGAAGCCGAACUUAAAGAAAUGAUUAACGAAGUUGAUCAAGACGGUAACGGUUUCGUUGAUUUCGACGAGUUUCUCGGUAUGAUGAUGAAGAAGAUGAAAGAAGCCGGAUCGGAGGAUGAAAUUAGCGAGGCUUUCAACCUAUUUGAUAAAGAUGGAGACGGUUACCUAAGCCAUUACGAGAUGAAGCAGGUAAUGGCAAAUUUAGGAGAGAAAUUAACAGAUACAGAAGUAUGGGAAAUGAUAAGGGAAUACGACGCCGACGGAGAUGGAAAAAUUAGUUACAAAGAAUUCGUUAAUGCAAUGACCCAGUGAACGAAGAUAAAAGCGAGAGAGAAAGAGAGAGACUCUAUAUAUACAGUAUAUAUAUAUUGAGAGAGAGAGAGAGAGAAAGAUUAUUCUAUCAUUGAACAUCCUCGUAAAUCUAUACAAUUGUGAUCACUUUAACAGCUUUUUUCUUUCUCAAUAACCAAAUUGAUUACAAAAAAAUAUAGUGAUUGUCGGUCUAAUAAUGAUGUAUUUUACAAAAUGAAUUAGUAGGAAAAGAGAUGAUACUAAAAGAUCUAUUUAUCGAUUUAUAUGAUUUAUUCAUAUGUAUAUUUAAAUAUAAACGGUUUACUGUUCAAUUCUGGAAAGAUUUGCAGUUUUGAACGUCUGUUUUCCUCCCCCUAGCAUUCAUAUCUUUUAUAGUUUAUCAUUAAAGUCUUUUGUUGAAUAAUAUUCAUUGAAAUACAAUCAGCUAAAAGGAAAAUAACCUAUAAAUAUUUCACAAUUCUUUGAUUCCUGUUAAUCGUUCUU